CCCAGUCCUCUCAUCAACUUUGGAAUGGCUAAUUAAUAUUGCCCAACCAACUUUUUUCCUGUUUUAUAUUUCCCAAAAUUCUUGUUGACAGUGGGUGGGGGAGAGAAUUCCCAGAUUUUUCAGAAUCAUCUGUCAGUGCAAUCUGCCUAACCAAAUUAUUGUUUCCAUCAGGACAAUUAUACAGGCCGAACUGCAUACAACUGUUGCGAUGGUUACAAUGAAAAUACAAAAAGUGUCCUACUUCCGCUUAGACUGUAGUUUGUUGUGAUUUACUGUCAUUUGUUCCAUUUUUCUGUAGUGAUUACCAAUAAAUUUAUCGGCUAAUUAAUACUGAGAUAAAAUUUAAAUUUCGCACCUUUUAUGCAAAUAUGAAACUAACAAAAAAUGUAUUAUUUCCCUUUGCUACAAAUUAUCAUACAUUAAAAAUAGAGAAAACUAAGUUUUAUUGUGGUAUUUGCCAAUAAAUUGGUAAUCGCUACAGAAAAACAGAACAAAUUACAGUAAAUCACAACAAAUUACAGAAGCGGGUAGACACUUUUUGUAUUUUCACUGUAAAGUAUAUAUAAUGCAAUAAUUACAUUUUCACAAUAUUCUAUUCAUCGUCCAUCUUCACACGAGGUUUGGCAAUCUGUACAUUAUUUUGCUCAUCUUGACUCCGUAAUUUAUCUAGAUAAGGCUUGCUUGCAAUCAACACUCCAGUUGCAACAAUAACUAGACCAGUCCUGGUUAAUUAAAU
rnacentral:lncRNA from 1 species